AGGAGUUCCAUCGUGAAUUUAACAAUCGCAAUUAGCUGGCUCGUUUUUGGCUAAAACACAACUUUUUUAGUUGUACCAGCUAAUUAUUUAGUAAAAAUUCAGGACCCAUUGUUGUUGAAAUUUAGGAACACCGAUUGCUAUUCUGCUGGCAGCAACUGACUGCCUGCAUUCCACUGACAGUAAAAUUUUUGCUAAAAGAGCUCCUAUUUUAGCUAAAUUUUAUCUAAAUUUUAAGGACAAAUUAGGUAGAAAUGACAGCUCACGGAUUCGCUUGUCAGUUCAUGUUUGCCUUGAAUCCUGAGUGGUUGUAUGUUUUAUAAAUUAACGCAAAAAGAAUAAAACAGUGAGGUGAUGUGACGCGAAGUGAAAUUAAGUGAUUCUGUAAAGUGUUUUGCAGUGAUUGUUGUCAUUUACGACUGUAAUGUAAGUAAAUUUAACAGCCACCAAAGUUGCAACUGUCGGGAACGAAUCGACGCACGACGCUUCGAAAAGAUCGCACGGAACAUCCAUGGUCCAUUCGGGCCAACCAGCUUUCCUCUAUCGGCGCCCUUAGCAACACCUCAACGGUGAUCGUAGUCCAGAGACGACCGCGGAACGCCGAGUGGCGUUACCGGUUGGACGUGUUUACCGAAACCCGUCGCAUCUUUUUCGACCGGCAGAGCUUAAAGUUCCAGCAUUUCUACGGUGUCCAGUUCUAGGUCGUGAUAAUGUUCUCUUUCGCUCCAUUUAAAUACAUGGAAGGCUGUAAGAAAGUACUGUUGAAAAGGGUUAAAAGUUUUUUAAAAUUCUAAUCAUAAUUUUGAUAAUUUCAGAAAAAACAAUGGGUUUGUUUGGCAACUGGCAAAAACAGGUGGAAUCGGGCUAACAAUCUGGUGACAUUGUAUGGCGAGUUUUACUACUCCGAGGGCACUUUACGAUGUUGAGCUAGGAUCGGCCACCCGGGCGACAAAAAAUCAACGAACAAUUGCAGAAUUGGAAUCGGCGUUGGAUAUAUAUCGAAACAUUUUAAGAGAACACAAAUUAACUUUACAGCCACAUGUGAUCUUAAUAAACAGCGCUAAUAGGCAAUACCUGAUCUAUUUAGAUCAAGGUAGAUAUUUUUCAGUAAACGGAUUAUUGGAAGCUAUCGACGGAGUAAUUAAACUAUCGAUGGUCCUUAAUUCAGCUUAUACUCCGGAUGCUAAACCAACAUGGACCUUUUUCCAAAAAUAUUGUUAUAAUAUAAACACGUCGAGCGACCACAAUUACACCUGCCUCAACACAUUGUUGGCUUACGUUAAAGAGCAAUGAGGUUAAAGCUGGUCCUCCUGAUGGUGGUGGUGGGAAUAAGGAAGAAAAACUAUAGAAAGUUUUAUUGUAGAUUAAAAACUGAAUUAAACAUCGUUAUUGAAAAAAAAGCUUAAAGAGACUACUUAUUUUGAAGAUGCAAAUAUCUGAAACGUAAAACAACAUAAAUUAAUAGCUAAUAUUAUUGUAACAAGGAUAAAGCUUUUUUAAGUACAAUGGUUUUUUGUACGCCAAAAUAGGGUUUAAGUGGAUUUUUGAAUAAAUUUUGAAAGAAAUACUUCGCAGCAUUGCUUCACAAAAAACUCUUUGUGAGGGUACCAUAUGUAAAAUGUUUUCUUGUAAUUUUUUUUAGCAAUGAAAAAAUAAAGAAAUCAAAAUUGAAUUACCAUUAAAUUGACAUGGAGCUUUAGGACUCU
rnacentral:lncRNA from 1 species